rnacentral:rRNA from 1 species
UACAGAGGGUGCGAGCGUUGUCCGGAAUCACUGGGCGUAAAGGGCGCGUAGGCGGCUCGGUAAGGUUGCGGUGAAAGCCCGGGGCUCAACCCCGGGUCGGCCGUGGCAACUGCUGGGCUCGAGCACUGUAGAGGCAGGUGGAAUUCCGGGUGUAGCGGUGGAAUGCGUAGAGAUCCGGAAGAGCACCGGUGGCGAAGGCGGCCUGCUGGGCAGUGACUGUAAUGGCCAAUAGCUGACGCUGAGGCGCGACAGCGUGGGGAGCAAACAGG